UACGUAGGGUGCGAGCGUUGUCCGGAAUUAUUGGGCGUAAAGGGCUCGUAGGCGGAUUGUCGCGUCGGGAGUGAAAACACACAGCUUAACUGUGUGCUUGCUUCCGAUACGGGCAGACUAGAGGUAUGCAGGGGAGAACGGAAUUCCUGGUGUAGCGGUGAAAUGCGCAGAUAUCAGGAGGAACACCGGUGGCGAAGGCGGUUCUCUGGGCAUUACCUGACGCUGAGGAGCGAAAGCGUGGGGAGCGAACAGG
rnacentral:rRNA from 1 species